GUUUUUUUGACUUUAAUUUUUUAUAUUUUUUUUUAUUAAUGUAAAUUUUUGUGGGAAAAAUUAGUAAAUUUUAAUAAAUUAUUGAUUUUUAUAUAGCAGUGGGUAAAUUUAAUUUAUUUAAGAAAUUAAGAAUUAGAAAUAUACUUAGUAUAAACAAAUUUUGUGCCAGCAGUUGCGGUUAUUCAAAAUAUGCAAUAAAAAAUUAUUAGUUUUAGUUAAUUAGUAUUAUUGAAUUUUUAUAGGAUUUUUUUAAGUGAAAUUUUAAAAUUUUAUAAGUUUAUAUUUGGGUAUUGAAGCUAUAAAAAUUCUUUAUAAAACUAGGAUUAGAUACCCUAUUAUAUGAAAGGUAUUUUUGAACUAAAUUAGUAAAAGUUAUGGUCUUUAAAAUUAAAAAAUUUGGCGGUAUUUUAGUCUAUUCAGAGGAAUCUGUUCUGUAAUUGAUAUUCCACGAUUUGUUUUACUUAUUUUUUAAAUUUAUAUAUCGCUGUAGAUUGAAUAUUUUUAUAGAAAGUGAAUAUUCAAGAUUUUUAAUAAAAUAAAAUCAGGUCAAGGUGUAGUUUAUAUAUAAGAAGAAAUGGAUUACAAUAAAUUUAUUUAUACUGAUAUUUAUUUUAAAAGUAUUUUGAGGGUGGAUUUGAAAGUAAUUUUUAAUAAUUUUUAAAGAUGAUUUUAGCUCUAAAAUAUGUACAUAUCGCCCGUCGCUUUCAUUAUAAAAUGAAAUAAGUCGUAACAAAGUAGAGGUACCGGAAGGUGUCUCUAGAAAUCC
rnacentral:ncRNA from 1 species